ensembl:lncRNA
AGUAACCAUUUUCAGAUGGUAGCUUCAAAGCUCAAAUCUCAGGCUGGUUUCUUGAAAAUGACAAAAAGUUUGUUGUACUCAAAGGGCCUCCACGGUUACCAGAUCAUCUUUGGGAUGUAGUGGAAUUGAAGAUUCAUAUCAUGGAUGUGGAACUGACAAAUCUGCAGCAACUGAGCAAUGCUGUCAUGUCAGUAUGGACCAGAAUCUACUAAUGUGAACAUCAAUUUUGUCUGUUCUAGACAUGAUUUGAACUCAAGCUCCUCUUAGUGACAGUUGGGAAUGCUGUGGCAGCUCAUUAAUCACCAGGACAGCCUGGAGGAGCUACACUUAAUCCCAUGAUGGUAUCCUCACCAUCCUCCACCGCUGCGGUUGCUCAUAAAAGUCAGUUCAAGGCAAGAAUAUUGGCAUUCAAAUUUGUGACUGCUGCUGUGAACAGAUGUCACCUCUGGCGAGUAAGGGUAAUGGCACCAGCAGUAAGGCAGGCCCACCCUGGCUCCUGGGGCUAAACAACAUACCACCACUGGGCUUCAGAGGGGGCAGAGGCAGGAGGGACAGCUUCAACAAGUGAACGUUUCACAAGCAUGCUCUCCGCAGUCCUUUUCCCUUCCCUGCAAUUAUCAUCAAAGAACAUCUGUUUGUUGUUCCUCAGGCACCCUCCCCUCACAAGUGUCCUAGCCUCACCUUGACCCAU